ACGCGAGGAACCUUACCAGGUCUUGACAUCCCAUUGACCGCUAUGGAGACAUAGCUUUCCCUUCGGGGACAGUGGUGACAGGUGGUGCAUGGUUGUCGUCAGCUCGUGUCGUGAGAUGUUGGGUUAAGUCCCGCAACGAGCGCAACCCUUGUUCUUAGUUGCCAUCAUUUAGUUGGGCACUCUAAGGAGACUGCCGGUGACAAACCGGAGGAAGGUGGGGAUGACGUCAAAUCAUCAUGCCCCUUAUGACCUGGGCUACACACGUACUACAAUGGCCAGUACAACGGGAAGCGAAGCCGCGAGGUGGAGCGAAUCCUAAAAAGCUGGUCUCAGUUCGGAUUGCAGGCUGCAACUCGCCUGCAUGAAGUCGGAAUUGCUAGUAAUCGCGGAUCAGCAUGCCGCGGUGAAUACGUUCCCGGGCCUUGCACACACCGCCCGU
rnacentral:rRNA from 1 species